UUUUGUAUAAUGGGUCAGCGACUUAUAUUCUGUAGCAAGGUUAACCGUAUAGGGGAGCCGUAGGGAAACCGAGUCUUAACCGGGCGUUAAGUUGCAGGGUAUAGACCCGAAACCCGGUGAUCUAGCCAUGGGCAGGUUGAAGGUUGGGUAACACUAACUGGAGGACCGAACCGACUAAUGUUGAAAAAUUAGCGGAUGACCUGUGGCUGGGGGUGAAAGGCCAAUCAAACCGGGAGAUAGCUGGUUCUCCCCGAAAGCUAUUUAGGUAGCGCCUCGUGAAUUCAUCUCCGGGGGUAGAGCACUGUUUCGGCUAGGGGGCCAUCCCGGCUUACCAACCCGAUGCAAACUGCGAAUACCGGAGAAUGUUAUCACGGGAGACACACGGCGGGUGCUAACGUCCGUCGUGAAGAGGGAAACAACCCAGACCGCCAGCUAAGGUCCCAAAGUCAUGGUUAAGUGGGAAACGAUGUGGGAAGGCCCAGACAGCCAGGAUGUUGGCUUAGAAGCAGCCAUCAUUUAAAGAAAGCGUAAUAGCUCACUGGUCGAGUCGGCCUGCGCGGAAGAUGUAACGGGGCUAAACCAU
rnacentral:rRNA from 2 species